rnacentral:rRNA from 1 species
GACGAACGCUGGCGGCGUGCUUAACACAUGCAAGUCGAACGGAAAGGCCCUGCUUUUGUGGGGUGCUCGAGUGGCGAACGGGUGAGUAACACGUGAGUAACCUGCCCUUGACUUUGGGAUAACUUCAGGAAACUGGGGCUAAUACCGGAUAGGAGCUCCUGCUGCAUGGUGGGGGUUGGAAAGUUUCGGCGGUUGGGGAUGGACUCGCGGCUUAUCAGCUUGUUGGUGGGGUAGUGGCUUACCAAGGCUUUGACGGGUACCCGGCCUGAGAGGGUGACCGGCGACAUUGGGACUGAGAUACGGCCCAGACUCCUACGGGAGGCAGCAGUGGGGAAUAUUGCACAAUGGGCGGAAGCCUGAUGCAGCAACGCCGCGUGCGGGAUGACGGCCUUCGGGUUGUAAACCGCUUUCGCCUGUGACGAAGCGUGAGUGACGGUAAUGGGUAAAGAAGCACCGGCUAACUACGUG